CAAGUCGAGCGAGGAGAUUUGUAGCAAUAUGAAUCACUCGAGCGGCGUAAGGGGCAGUAAUACCUGGGAACGUACCCUGAGGUCGGGGAUAGCUGCUAGAAAUGGCGAGUAAUACCCGAUGAUCUCGAGAGAGCAAAGGCUUGCCGCCUUCGGAGCGGCCCAGGCGAUAUUAGCUAGUUGGUGGGGUAACGGCCUACCAAGGCUUAGAUGUCUAGCGGGUGUGAGAGCACGACCCGCGCCACUGGCACUGAGACACUGGCCAGACACCUACGGGUGGCUGCAGUCGAGAAUCUUCGGCAAUGAGCGCAAGCUUGACCGAGCGACGCCGCGUGCGGGAUGAAGGCCUUCGGGUUGUAAACCGCUUUGGUCCGAGAGAAAGGGUAAAACUUGAUCGAUCGGAGAAACAAGGACGGGCUAAGUUCGUGCCAGCAGCCGCGGUAAGACGAACCGUCCAAACGUUAUUCGGAAUCACUGGGCUUAAAGGGCGCGUAGGCGGCCGAGCGGGUCACGGGUGAAAUCCUCCAGCUUAACUGGAGAACUGCCCUUGAUACCACUGCGGCUCGAGGAAGGAAGGGGCAAUCGGAACUGUCGGUGGAGCGGUGAAAUGCGUUGAUAUCGACAGGAACGCCGGUGGCGAAAGCGGAUUGCUGGUCCUUUUCUGACGCUGAUGCGCGAAAGCCAGGGGAGCAAACGGGAUUAGAUACCCCGGUAGUCCUGGCCUUAAACGAUGAGAACUAGGUAGUGGGUCCGACCUGGGCACACUGCCGAAGCGAAAGUCUUAAGUUCUCCGCCUGGGGAGUAUGGUCGCAAGGCUGAAACUCAAAGGAAUUGACGGGGGCUC
rnacentral:rRNA from 1 species